AUUUAAUGUAUAUAAAAACAUAAAUAUAAGAUAAAUCCUAUAAAUUUAUAGAUUAAUUUUUCGAGCCCGGGAAUAUAAGCGUGUCCUCGUUAUAAUUACUACCUCACCUUAUUGACACAUUGAAGCUUCGCUUUGUUUAUAGGCCUGUCACAAAUUAUGUGUGGUGUUGACUAUAUAUCAUUUUCGAGUUUCGAUCAUUUUAGCUAUGUUCCCAACGGGCAUUAACACAAUCCCUGCCGCUUUGCGUUAGUUUGGUUUUUCUGAGUUAGUAUUGUUUGUUUAGUGCUGCAUUUGUAAGAGAAAAGAGCUGAAAAUUGGAAAUAAAAUAAAUUGCGAACAAAAUUGUUAAUUUACAAACAGUUGAACCAAACCUUUGCUUUUCCCUCCAAUUGUCUAAUUAAUAUACUUAAUUCGCCAAACCUAGUAAUCAAUUCUGCAUCGUCAGUCUUUCCGUACAUCAUUCUAUAAGGUCGCUAUCAUUAAUAAACCCAAACGAAGCAACGAAUAAUAGAACACCAUCUGUCGUCUGGAUAUAUUGGUCUUAUCGCCAAUUGGUCUAAUCCAUUUUACCAAACCAAGCAAAAAGAGAAGAAGAGGAUCAUCGAGAUGUGUCGAAAAGUAAUCUUUUAAGACGUAGAACGGCUCUUCGUCCUUUUACAUUACCCGAAAAUAUGCAAGUAAAAGGUUUUAUACUUUUGUCAAUAACUUCAAUAUACAUAAACAUACAACAAAUUAAAAUGCACAUAAACAUAUUGUUAUAUGUAGACUUCUGCGAAGUUCUCUGUUGUCAAAAGGGGCUUUCAAAUACGUUUUCGGAAAAUUGCUGUAGUCUGGAGACUAUCAAUGGCAAUGGUGUAUCGAUUUUUACCUAAGUGUUGCACAGAGCACCAUUUCUGUUGUUGUAUCAGAAAUAAGACAAGAAAUGGAAAAAAACUUUACACAGAAUGGAUUCGUUGGGAUACUUGCACCAACACAAAGAAGUGAUUGAAUAGGAAAUUGGGUGUUCCUGAUGGUUUUUUGACUUAACACAAUGAUGCGUUAUUCCAUUUUUCGGGCUAAUUAGCUUCACUUGGUAAGCAGAGAAACGUCGUUGCGAAUUAUUUUAUAAAAAAAAAAUAAGGAGAUCAAUGUAAAUUAAACCAAAACAUAUGGUUUGAGAAGCAAAGCUGAAAAAAUCAACAUAACUGUAAACAACGCUUAUGUGAAGAAAGACGAUAGGAAAAUUAACGUAAAAGCAAAUUAAAUUUAAAAGAAUUACUUUGAGCUUGGAGGUAGACUUUACUGACCACCACAAAUGUACUGGUUAGUGUUUUGAUUUGACAAAUAUAUUUUUUACUUGCUUUUUCUUUUACUUAUCCAACAAUA